rnacentral:rRNA from 1 species
CGUCCAGACUCCUACGGGAGGCAGCAGUGGGGAAUUUUGCACAAUGGGGGAAACCCUGAUGCAGCGACGCCGCGUGAGCGAUGAAGUAUUUCGGUAUGUAAAGCUCUAUCAGCAGGGAAGAAGAUGACGGUACCUGACUAAGAAGCCCCGGCUAACUACGUGCCAGCAGCCGCGGUAAUACGUAGGGGGCAAGCGUUAUCCGGAUUUACUGGGUGUAAAGGGAGCGUAGACGGCGAUGCAAGCCAGAUGUGAAAGCCCGGGGCUCAACCCCGGUACUGCAUUGGAAACUGUCGGACUAGAGUGUCGGAGGGGUAAGUGGAAUUCCUAGUGUAGCGGUGAAAUGCGUAGAUAUUAGGAGGAACACCAGUGGCGAAGGCGGCUUACUGGACGAUUACUGACGCUGAGGCUCGAAGGCGUGGGGAGCAAACAGGAUUAGAUACCCGAGUAGC